rnacentral:rRNA from 1 species
CCUACGGGAGGCAGCAGUGGGGAAUAUUGGGCAAUGGAGGAAACUCUGACCCAGCGACGCCGCGUGCGGGAUGAAGGCCUUCGGGUUGUAAACCGCUUUCAGUAGGGAAGAAGCGAAAGUGACGGUACCUACAGAAGAAGCACCGGCUAACUAUGUGCCAGCAGCCGCGGUAAUACAUAGGGUGCAAGCGUUGUCCGGAAUUAUUGGGCGUAAAGAGCUCGUAGGUGGUUCGUCACGUCGGAUGUGAAAAUCUGGGGCUCAACCCCAGACCUGCAUUCGAUACGGGCGAUCUAGAGUGUGGUAGGGGAGACUGGAAUUCCUGGUGUAGCGGUGGAAUGCGCGGAUAUCAGGAGGAACACCAAUGGCGAAGGCAGGUCUCUGGGCCAUUACUGACACUGAGGAGCGAAAGCGUGGGGAGCGAACAGGAUUAGAUACCCUGGUAGUCCACGCCGUAAACGGUGGGCACUAGUUGUGGGAACCUUCCACGGUUUCUGCGACGCAGCUAACGCAUUAAGUGCCCCGCCUGGGGAGUACGAUCGCAAGAUUAAAACUCAAAGGAAUUGACGG